CACCUUUUGUCCUUAGACAAGCUCGAGGGACAACCAGCAGCCCUGGUCAGAUGACCUAAGUGACCUACUGGUGAGCCAGCGGAUGCAGCGGCUGUAGUUAUGAGGCUUGAGCAGCAGCUCUCGGAGGAACUGCCACAGGUGGAUGGGCUGGUUUGGAUAGUUACUGAUCACCUCUGUCCAGGAAUCAUCAUCCGCUGCUGAAAUGUCUAGAUGAGCAUACAGCAUGUCCCCAAACUGCGAUGAGUGUAAUCUGAAGUCUGCUUCUGUCAUGGAGCACAGAUCCUUCCCGUUAAGCUCCUGGAACAUGGUGCUGACCUGUGGCAGCUUGUACAGGUGCUCAGUCCAGAGAAACCACUUCUGGACAUGCACGCAGCUCCAGUCCAAAGGGUCUGAGAUGGAAAACAAAGAGACAACACAUCUCACUUCAGUGGAGCUUCUUGAUUGAGGCAACGAGGUUCACCUGGCUGUGGGCCUUAAAGUUUGCUGCUGCCUGCAGUCAGUGAGAGGCAGUUGAGUUGGGGACUGCUGGCCAGCUGCCUCUCCUUUAAGGGAUUUGUGUGUGUUUUUGUUGUGUUGUGUCCUGUCGUGUCCUGUCAGAAUGUAGUUAAAAAUUUGUUGAAUUGUUUAACCCUUUGUGUGGCUUUAUAUUAAAUUCCCUUUUGUUAAAUGUUACAAGGUGCUUUUGUGGUUUCUAUGGGUAUCGUGUUGGAUUAUUGUUAGCCCCACAGGGCCGCGGCGUAACAGAGACCAUCACUGAAAAAUCGUUUUUAAAUAUUUCCAAUAACUUCAUGUGCAGAAGACGGUGUUCUGUUUUUUUUCCUUCCAGGUUACCUGACCAUAGUCCCUUAUUUUUAGAUGUCCAAUAAUUUCUCUCUAUUUCAGCAUUUAGGCUAAAACUGAACCUACAAUUUGUUAUUUGAAAGUAUUCAACAAAGUACCAUUAGUUUUAUUUUCAACUACAAAAAGGUGACCAGUGUUUCAAGAAAGUUGGCUCUGUGGGCAAAAAGGAGAGCGUAGAAAUAGUCCUUAGCUUUGGCUAUCAUGACAAACUAUUCUUUACAGACCAGGAAUACAAAACUCUGUAAACCAUUCCUCAGCCCCUGGCAGGCUGUCUAAACCUUUAUCACUGUUGUACCUUACUACUUUUUUUUUUACCUUAAACCCUGUUAUAUUAACUGGGUUUGGACAAUUUGUGGAGAGUUUUGAAGGCUCCUGGCAGGCAGGGGAAUGCACCCAGGGAAGUGUAGGCCAUAAUGUAUGUUUGUCUCAGUCUGCUGCAUCAAUCCUGAUCCUAUUUUGAAAUAUCUCUCCUGUACUCUCUUAUUUUAACUCAAUUGCUGAUAGACUAAUUUGAACUAUGAGCAUCAUGCUCUACAUGAAUCAUAAGCAACAAUUAAUUUGUCCCCUACCCUCAGAGUUAGACAAAAGCAAAUAUUCAGGAACACGAUGUCUGUAUGAAUUUAAGGCUACAGAUAAGGAAAUUCAAGAACUGAAGAUGAUCUUUCAACAGAAGUGUUUGCACAAGGAAGGUAGGGCCCCAGAUGCUCACAGGUAACAGUUGUGCCUCUAUGUGGAUGUUGAUGUGAGAGCAAACAAACAAAUGAUAGCUUUGUAAGGUGAGUUCUUUUUAGACUUAAACUCCUGCCAACACUUUCUGUCAAAGUUUUUUUUUUGUUUAAUGUCUCUCUGAUAACCUCACAUUGACCUUUUUAAUUUUUUGUGCUACCUGGUGCGAUGUUGAGUAGUUUGCAGGCUGUGUCCACAUCCUUCAGCACCUCUCCCACCACCAUGGUCUGGACCUGCUCCAGACAUCGCUCCCCGGUUUGGCCCUCCAUUUCAGAGGAAGGUUCCUGAACCUGACUGGGCUUCGCUGGACUCAUCUCCGGGGUCCUGGAUGGAGGAGCAGCAGCAGGAGGAGCCGGGGCCUCUGUCAUCCUCAAUACCCAGGGGUUCUCCUCCACAGCCAAUCUGUCCGGCCAGCUGAGCUCAGGAAGCCCCAACAAGCUGCGGGGGGGUUUAACGUCCUCCCCCUCAUCUAGCCAGGCGGUCCUGGUGUCGGUGUGUGGGUGGCUGAUGUAGAGAGGCAGUGGAAAGAGAAGGAAGCUGAGAAGAGAGAGUGGGGAAUAAAAUGCAGCAAAGGGCCAAGCAUUGGAGUCAAACUCGGGCCACCCACUAUCCGGACAGGAAGAGUGAAGUUUGUUGUUCUUACCUCCAAAGUAAAGACCGGUAGCUGUGCACAUUCUCCACUGGCCCUGGAACAUGCCAGGAGACGCAGUGCUCUGCAUUUGUACGCUGACAUCAGUCAUUUCCUGCGGGUCUAAAGACCGAACCAUCACCAUGUUUACGUGACCAAACUGAUCUCCUCCAACAUACUUCAGACAGACUCCAGGAGGCCACGACUCUGCACCUGGAAGACACACAGACACAG